UACAUGUGGGGCAAGCGUUGUUCGGAAUUACUGGGCAUAAAGGGUGCGUAGGUGGCUUGUUAAGUCAGGGGUGAAAGUUUUCGGCCCAACCGGAAAAUGGCCUUUGAUACUGGCGAGCUCGAGUGCGUGAGGGGUAACCGGAACGAGCAGUGUAGCGGUGAAAUGCGUAGAUAUUGCUCGGAAGGCCAACGGCGAAGGCAGGUUACUGGUACGCAACUGACACUGAGGAACGAAAGCCAG
rnacentral:rRNA from 1 species